rnacentral:rRNA from 1 species
AUUGAACGCUGGCGGCAGGCUUAACACAUGCAAGUCGAGCGGUAGCACAGGGGAGCUUGCUCCCUGGGUGACGAGCGGCGGACGGGUGAGUUAUGUCUGGGAAACUGCCUGAUGGAGGGGGAUAACUACUGGAAACGGUAGCUAAUACCGCAUAACGUCGCAAGACCAAAGAGGGGGACCUUCGGGCCUCUUGCCAUCAGAUGUGCCCAGAUGGGAUUAGCUAGUAGGUGGGGGAAUGGCUCACCUAGGCGACGAUCCCUAGCUGGUCUGAGAGGAUGACCAGCCACACUGGAACUGAGACACGGUCCAGACUCCUACAGUGAGCAGCAGUGGGGAAUAUUGCGCAAUGGGCGCGAGCCUGAUGCAGCCAUGCCGCGUGUGUGAAGAAGGCCUUCGGGUUGUAAAGCACUGUCGGCGAGGGGGAAGGUGGUGAGCUUAAUACGUUCAUCAAUUGACGGUACUCGCAGAAGAAGCACCGGCUAACUCCGUG